rnacentral:rRNA from 1 species
UCAAAAACAUGUCUUUUUGAAAAUAAUUUAAAGUCUAAUCUGCCCACUGAUAUUAAUUAUUAAAGGGCUGCAGUAUAUUGACUGUACAAAGGUAGCAUAAUCAUUAGUCUUUUAAUUGAAGACUUGUAUGAAAGAUUUGAUGAAAUAUAAACUGUCUCUAAUUUAUUAAUAAAAAUUAAUUUUUUAGUUAAAAAGCUAAAAUAAUAUUAAAAGACGAGAAGACCCUAUAAAGUUUAAUAAUUUAUUUAUUUAAUAUUAAAUAUAUAAUUAAAUAUAAUAAUUAUUAUAAAUUAUUUUAUUGGGGUGAUAGAAAAAUUUAAUUAACUUUUUUUAAUAAAUAAACAUAAAUAAAUGAUUUAUUGAUCCAUUAUUAAUGAUUAAAAGAAAAAAUUACUUUAGGGAUAACAGCGUAAUAUUUUUUUUUAGUACAAAUAAAAAAAAAAGUUUGCGACCUCGAUGUUGGAUUAAGAUAAAAUUUAAAUGCAAAAGUUUAAAAUUUUGAUCUGUUCGAUCAUUAAAAUCUUACAUGAUCUGAGCU